ACAAGCGCUGGGGAUUUAGUAGAGUACUUAGAGUAACACCUUCCAUCUGAGGACAAAAAUCGAAUAAAUUUUAACACGUGAAAAUAAUAGGCACAGCUAAAACUGCGAUUGUAAAUUAUACAUUCUACGAUACGAGCAAAUAAGUAUUCGUUUAAAAGGGAUACUGUUGUGUUAUUGACUUACUAUUAGAAUUCGACAUUACUAAAAUUUAACUAAUUGAGUAAUUGUUUCUGAAAUUUAUUCCUUAUUUUAGAUUUUAUUUAAAGUAUGUAGUUUAAAAAAAAAAAAAAUUAAACGUUAUACCCAUACUUAGUUGGCUACCAUUA